GAUGGUUUUAACUGAUAUAUAGAUAGAAACGUACAGAGUAAGUUGGAGGAUUUUGAUUGUUUGGAGAAAGUCAAUUUGGUGUAUUUUGUAUGAAAAGUGACCAACUUCAAAACGACGUAU